GGAUACUCUCCGCUGAUCCAUGGUCGGACUUCGCCCUUCUCUCCUACGCCCGAGGUUUCCCUCCCAGGAAUGUGUCCCCAGACCGCCAGGUGGAGCGGGACUCUAAACUGCGGCGGGGCACGCCCGAGCAGGUUGCUGUCUCUGCGCUGAUAACGUGACACCCUGUGAGGGUAAAUUACUGGCACCCUGGAAGGACAAAGGCCUUCCUGGCAUGGCGCUGUAGAGUUCGGUGCCACUGCUGGGGCAGACCACGGAGAUCUCUAGAAAUUCUUGCUAGGAUUAGACAGGAUAAACUUGACAUGUCGCUACAGGAAGAGAAUUUUGCAGUGGGCAGAUAGGAAGAGGUUUGGAAAACUUCUGAGUCCUACCUUAUGUACUGUGCAGGAAACAGGCCCAGAAAAGAACGGCUUUGCUCCGAGGCACACAAUAGGCCCGCUGCAGAGGCCGGACUAAAACAAGGUCUCCUGAACUCUUACCUAGCACACUGAGUGACAAGAGACCUCUGUGGUCCCGGAGGUGGGAGAGAAGGGAUACUCCCUUAUGGGUUGAGCGCUGGAGCUGACUGUCUUGAUGAACCCUGGAACAAAGGCCUGAGAAGGCCCCUCAGCAGACUGGGGCAGUCUUGUUCACAUGCCAGCCCGCUGCCCCAUUCUCCAGUAGCUUAUUUCUUUUCUUCCCUAGAAAACUGCAAAAUGCUUACAGCACUUAUUAAAGAACAGCUUUGU
rnacentral:lncRNA from 1 species